GUUGGGUGUUGAUGAAGCUCUCUCUCUCUCUCUCUCUCUCUCUCUCUCUGUCGUUAUAUAAAAUGGAAUGAAGCAAAAGGUCUGAAAAUGGGUCGAGAGGAUGAGAGACCAGGAGGAAAAGGAGAAGGAGCAUGGAUUCUCUGAAGCUACUGGGAUGGGCUAGCCGGGAAGAUACAAAUUAUCAAAAAAAGAAAAAGAAAAGAAGUUUCUUCUUUUAAAGUUUUCAUCUUCUGACGUUUUUCUUUCUCCGUGAAUCAAAAGAAAUGAUUUUUUUUUUUGUCUUCCGUUUUGGGUUUUAUCUUCCCUGUUCCGCCCAUUCCACUGGCUUCCGGACGUUGAGGUGAAACAGGAAAGCGAUUCAGCCACCUUAAAGUUUAGAUUUUGAUGAAUGACUUUGGAUGCUGACAGCAUCUUCGACGUGUGGAUUAGCUCGCGAGAGAAUGAAAAAGUCGAUUGAUGAACUCCUCCAGAUCAUCUACCCUACUGGGUUUUUCUUGCUUUUAGAAAAUAGUCGCGAAAAAUCUAGUCUCUUGUGUAUUUUUUUUUCUCCAAUUAGCAUCUUCUGGCAAAAAUCUGAUCUGACAGCAGUGGAUCUUGACUGAAACACUUGUCUGUUGAGUUAAUAUUGGAUUGAAUCAUGUUGGAGAAAUGUGAUUCGGGACAAACAUUGCAGAUAUUGUUCUGAGUAGCGAGUACCCAUUUUCAUUUA